UAAAUUAAACUUCAUUCAUGCUCCGCAUGUGCUGAACAGGAGCUUGAUAGAUGGAAUGACAGAAUAUUUUAUGAUCAUCCCACGUCUGGCCUGGGACAAAGGAGAGGCGGAUAGCGUGUGGAGAUGUAUUAAGAAAUUAACUAGUGACCCAAAAUACCCCAGAACAUGGUGGAAUAAUUAUAUAUGGGAGUUAAUGUCCUUAGGUGGACAUGUACGAGGUCCUUUUCCUGGUAUGAUUCCGAAAACGAGUCAUGAUGCAUGGCUUGUGAAUAGCACAUCGAAGAGAUGGGCUCUGAAUGUGUCAUAUGAAAUGUGGACGGAGGAUGUUCAUGGCUUAAUGGGACAUUUUGCCCCGAACGGGUUCGAUAAGCCAGGGCGAGUGACAGAGUACGAUGUCCUUUUUGGACAAUGGUGGGCUACCAAUCUGACAGAAGGGGUGUUAGAAUGCAGGCCUAAAGAGAGACUCGGCUCUACAAUCUUUUGGAUGGCUAAUUUACUGGCGUUGUUGAACCCAGCUACAGUCCCAACGAUUAAAGAUGUAAAUGUGAAAAAAGGUGUAAAUAUGACUCCUCCGUUCGUGAGGAUGGAGAAACAUGGCAGUUUAAUAGAACUGACUAUGGUCCGAUCACAAGGUCCGCAUCUAGAUGAUUUGUACUCCACCCCAGCUUAUUCAAAGUUUCGGUUUAUGAAUAUGACAUGGGGGCAUUACACUGGAGAGCUGCGAGACUUGGAGUAUGAUUAUGCGUAUCGCGAACAAGCUUUACGAUUCAGGGAAGCACAUUGGGUGCGAAAUUCUCUGUUAACCAGGUGGUGUAGGUCUGAUGCGUGCUUCAGAACUUUGGCCCAGCCCGCUACGAAAAUUGCUGUUAGAAAUGGGAAAAAUGUGUAUAAUCCUUAUGAACUGGGCGGCUUUGUUGACCCUCACGGUUACCCCCACUGGUGGCACUCAAAUUGGAGCAGCUACGUCGUCUGGGACUCAGAGAAUUUCCCAUCAUUAGGAGUAGGAUGGGGUUACUUUGCCAACUCGAAAGGCCCCAAGGCUUGUUUUUGUCAGGAGGACAUAGAUGCUGUUGAAUACAGGAGCGACUUGGGUAUAUGGCCCUUUCAAGCAUGGAUUCCUGUUGGUGGGGGUCAUUGGGAGCAGAACUGUUCUGGUUCCUUUCAUUUUCCCAAUCGGACAGGCACAUGUUGGUUGAGUGAAAGAGCUAGGAUGUCUGAUUGGCAAUUUGUCCAGAAGGGUUUUAAAAUUAUUGGCCAAGGAUUAACCUUAGGUAUCAGAGAGGCCGUUAAGGUGGUCGCCCAGGGAGCAAUGGGUGUUGCCUCUCUGGUAAUCUCUGAAUUAUGGGUUUACGCCAAGGUCCCUGUGAUCGUAGGAGGGGUCCUGGUGAUGUUAUCUGUUUGUGUUAAACUCAUGCAUCUUUUGAAGUGUUUUGCCAGCUGCAGCAGGAGAUCUGCUAAUCAGCCCCAAUGGCAGGAGGAAGGGCCUCCUGAGUCAAUUAGAUUGGGACCACGUGGACGCCGGGCACUCAGGAACAGAGCUGCACGCAGGUAGCAUCUCCCUUGAAGAGAAAGUUCUCAAGGUAUCAUGGCCCGUGCAGAAUCUCCACGUGAGGUAUUUGAAGAAGCAGAUGAGGAUGUGCUGAUUACCUCGGUUGAUGAAUCAGAGGAUCUAUUGCCUGGCCCAGACUCUCAGGAGAUGCUGGUGCUGCCACCCAGUGGACAGAAGCCGCUGGUGAACAAGCGACGUCAGCCUGGGGUGAUACCACCCAAGAGAGUUUCACUUUACGGGCUGGUGGAUGGUAAACCUGUAAGGAUAAACCCGAAUGGACCGUGGAACGCACAUGUUUGGGAACGUAUUGUGUUGGUCUCUGAUGGUACCAGUCAUAAAGGGACUCGAGUGGCGAGGAGGGAGAAGAUUCUUCAGAGAAUUACACGCUCGACUCUAGUUAAGCAUUUUGAUUGUGUCAGGCGCGAUGUGUCACGGGGCCAGACGCGCUUGCCCUGUGUACUCUCUCAUUUCAGAGAAGGCGACGUCGAUUGGUGUUGGAUCAGUACACCCCACAACGACUACGUGCAGGAGGGCGAAGAGCCAAGGCGUGUGGUCAGGAUGCAACCAUCACCUGCUAAAGUGGACGUUCCGAUGCAGGAAGUGAGCCCUCCGGAGUUCGAUCUGCGUCGGCAGCUUCAGGCCGCUCCGUCUGUCCAGGCCAUGGUGCCACCAGUGAUGAAUGCAAUAAACCCACAUGUUUACUUGUAUCCAGGAAAUUUGAAUAUGCAGUAUUUCCCGCAGUUUAUGCCGUUUAACGAAGCUUGGUUUCAAGGGGGGUGUUGAAUAAAGAUUUUCGAUUCCUCCAGACCUGUCUUAUUAUAUAAUAGCAGUUCUGGAUUACAUCUCAAAUCUGUAUGUUAGUGAAACCAGGCUUCAGGGUUCAGCUAGAGGUCUGUGUGUGGUGAUUUGACUCCUGAUCUCAUGCUGCCAUAAAUGAUGUGUGUGUUUCAACUAA